AUGGGAAGAUCGUUUCCACACUACUACCGACUACCCAGCAACGGCAGACGGCAUUCCACGCCAGCAGGGGACUGGAGCGAGAGAGGCCCAAUCUCUUCCCUCCUGUUGGUCUGUCCCACUCUGCCCAGAACCAAAGUGACAUUUGCGUGGCCACAGAAGCCCGCGUUACAUAACUUCAAAAUAAUCUUCACACUCCUAGAUCUAUUUCGAAAUACGUGUUCAAAAAGCGCUACUGCAAAUCGAAAAGACGGAGGAAAAGAAGUGGAAGUCGGGUUCCUGCAUCGCCCAACGCGCGAAGGGGACAGGCAGGACGGCAACCUGCUACCUGCGAGCCGGGAGGGGGCUGAGACGCCUUCUAGGCUCCGGGUUACGAGUGGACUCCACCGGUUCGAGAAAUCUGGACGCCGCUCGUCAGGAAGACUGGUUCCCAAAAGCCUACUCGCACAGGCCGCAAACACAGCCGCGCUGCGCGGGGAGCUCCUGGAGGUCUUCCUCUUGCCCGGCGUGCAAUGCGGCCGGAGGCGUGGUGCGGAGGACCAUAGAGAAGAGCGGAGCUAGAGGGUACUCGUGUUGGCUCGGACUCACCAGGCCGAGACGGAAUCACCAUAGAGAAGCAGCGCCUCGUGGGGACUAGAAAGGCUCCAGCUGCGAAUGACGACCCACUCUGCCAUUUUUGAUUGGAGCUGAUUGAAUCUUAUGACUACGCGACGCCAUCUUGAGGUCAAGGUUCUGGCUGGGCACGGCGCGAGGGUUGUUAGCGGAUUUCUCCCUUUUUCAGGGAUUAGAAUUUUACCCUGCGGUUCAGUGAGGUUCUAUAGACGGAUAGCGGGGUCCGACCUAAAACCCCAGGAGAAACCCCAAGUGCUCAUUUUUCCCAUUAAAAACAACUACUUUGAUACCAAGAAAUAACUGGCAACCGCUGAAUUGGUUUUUUAAAAAGUGAAAACACACACUUAAAGCUGAGGUGCGAUAAUAGGGCCGAAGAGGUAGCUGGGCAGAUGUUUGCAAUACUUAAAAAGGCCUGUAAGAGUAUUCAACACAGCUUUCCUUCUGUGAUGCAAACUUACCAGGAAGUACUGAGCUUGCAAAGGUAAUGGAAGUUAAUGGAAAAUGGUCAUGAGUGAUUAUUCACUUCGUGGAUUUUAUACACAGUCACUAUUAGUAGUGCUUUGUUUCCCAACUGCUCGCUUCUCCAAAGGCUCACGAAUCCACUCUAAAGUCAUUGCCUGCCUGAGUGCCUGGUAUUUAUAGAGGUAAAGGGGAAAGAGACCCUUUCCUUUCAGGGAACAACUGCGGGCCACGUGGAAUUAAUGACAAACCCUGAUCUCCAUACAUAAAAUUCAAACAUUAUUACACAUUCUGUCUGCUUGUCUUAAUUUUAUUCUAUAGCACUUACCUUCUGUACCAUUUUUCUUAUUUAUUCUUGUUUAUUUUGUAUCCAUCUUCCUCCUCCCCACAAUAAACGUAAGGAGUGCGUGAAUGGUCUGUUUUAU
rnacentral:lncRNA from 1 species